rnacentral:rRNA from 1 species
GACGAACGCUGGCGGCGUGCCUAAUACAUGCAAGUAGAACGCUCGAGGAGGAGCUUGCUUCUCUGGAUGAGUUGCGAACGGGUGAGUAACGCGUAGGGAACCUGCCUGGUAGCGGGGGAGAACUAUUGGAAACGAUAGCUAAUACCGCAUAACAGUAGAUAUCGCAUGAUAUUCACUAGAAAGGUGCAAUUGUAUCACUACCAGAUGGACCUGCGUUGGAUUAUCUAGUUGGUGAGGUAACGGCGCACCAACGCGACGAUACAUAGCCGAACCGGGAGGGUGAACGGCCACACUGGGACUGGGACACGGGCCAGACUCCCACGGGAGGGAGCAGUAGGGGAACUUCGGCAAUGGACGGAAGUCUGGACGAGCAACGCCGCGUGGGUGGAGAAGGGUCUCGGAUCGUAAAGAUCCGUUGUAAGGGAAGAAAGAGUGUGAGAGUGGAAAGUUCACACUGUGACGGUAUCUAAUCAGAAAGCGACGGCUAACUACGUG